rnacentral:rRNA from 1 species
AACGAACGCUGGCGGCAGGCUUAACACAUGCAAGUCGAACGCCCCUCCUUCAAGCAAGCUUGAAGGAUCUUUUUUUCCGCCGGGAGGCGGGGAUGGGAUCAAGAAAGCCCAGGCUUUCUUGAUGGAGGGGAGUGGCAGACGGGUGAGUAACGCGUGGGAACAUACCCAUCACUACGGAAUAACUCAGGGAAACUUGUGCUAAUACCGUAUACGACCGAGAGGUGAAAGAUUUAUCGGUGAUGGAUUGGCCCGCGUUGGAUUAGCUAGUUGGUGGGGUAAAGGCCUACCAAGGCGACGAUCCAUAGCUGGUCUGAGAGGAUGAUCAGCCACAUUGGGACUGAGACACGGCCCAAACUCCUACGGGAGGCAGCAGUGGGGAAUAUUGGACAAUGGGCGCAAGCCUGAUCCAGCCAUGCCGCGUGAGUGAUGAAGGCCUUAGGGUUGUAAAGCUCUUUCACCGGAGAAGAUAAUGACGGUAUCCGGAGAAGAAGCCCCGGCUAACUUCGUGCCAGCCGCCGCGGUAACAC